AUACAACUUGCCAUUUUAACUAUUUUUAGUGGUAUUAAUUGCAUUCACAACCUUGUGAAUGACAUUGCAAUAUAAUCAUUAAAACCAUCUAUUUCAGGGCUGGGCAUGGUGGCUCAUGCCUGUAAUCCCAGCACUUUGGGAGGCAGCGGUGGGCCGAUCAUGAGAUCAAGAGAUCAAGACCAUCCUGGCCAACACGGUGAAACCCUGUCUCUACUAAAAAUACAAAAAUUAGCUGAGCAUGGUGGUACGUGCCUGUAAUCCCAGCUACUCAGGAGGCUGAGACAGGAGAAUCACUCGAACCUGGGAGCUGGAGGUUACAGUGAGCUAAGAUCAUGCCACUGCACUCCAGCCUGUGUGACAGAGUGAGACUCCAUUAAAAAAAAUAUCUAUUUCAAAUGGAUACUAUUUUUUUGGUCCCUCUCUUUUUCCCUUUUUUUUUUUUUUUUUUUAAAGAUACAGGGUCUUGCUAUGUUGUCCAGGCUGAAGUGCAGUGGUGUGAUCAUAGCUCACUACAAGUCCUGGCCUCAAAAGCUAUCCUCCCACCUGGGCCUCCCAAAGAGCUGGGAUUACAAGGGUGAGCCACUGUGCCCAGCCACAACUGCAUUUUAAAAAUAUCAAAAAUAUGAGAUUUUCCUACAUGAUUGGUGUCAGUGAUGUGAACCAGCACACUGGAGGACCCUUUGUGACGGGUGCACUGAAAUCUCAGAAAUCACCACUAAAGAACUCCAUGUAACCAAAACCACCUGUUCCCCAAAACUGACUGAAGUAAACAAGUUUUAAAAAUGUACAUACCCUUUGACCCAGCAAUUCCAUGCUUGGGCAUUAAUUCUACAAGGAUUCUUGCACAUGUAUGAAAUGUAUAAGGUUGUUAGUUGUAGUGUGGCUGGUAAUGACAAAACAUCUGGAAACAAUCCAAUGUCCAGUAUCUAUCAACAGGAGAUUACUGGUUAAAUCAAUUAUGACACAUUAAUACAAUGGAAUACUCUGUAAUUAAAAAAUCUCCUCCAUCUUU
rnacentral:lncRNA from 13 species